CCCGAGGUAGAGGGCGAGGGAGCCUCGCGCCGCCGCCGCCGCUGGCCAGGCCCGGACGCGGCGGGAGGGCGGAGCUGCCGCCCCCCCCACGGCGGGCACGAGGGGGAAGGGGGCAGGGCAAGCGAGAGGCGUGCAGGAGCAGGAGGGUGCUGGGGGUGUCCCGGCGCAGCUCCCCGUCGCCACCCCGGGGGGGUUCCGCUGCGGCGCCCCGACCGCGGGCCCGCAGCCCCCUCCCCCCAGCGGUGGCGGCGCGCAAGGCUGACGAUAAAACCCCGCCCCGCCGCCGCCCUCCCACGAAAUGGCGCCGGCCGGAUCUACAUCCUUGCGCUGACGCGGUGGCGCGGUAUCCCUCCGCGCGCUAAUCGGCCUUCCCAGCCGUCCACUGGUGCAUGAGGGUGUCACCGGGCGGGGGCGAUAGCUGUCCCCCUGCCUGUCACCCGCCAGCCUCAGCGUCGAGCGGCUGCCUGCCCCUCUGUGGCUGGGCGGCGGGGAAGGGGCUGGUUCCAGCGGUAGCACGGAGCUGGCGUUCUUCCGCCUCUAAGUAACGCCCAGCGUUUCCCACCCCGUGCCGGCGCUGGGCUCGGCGGGACGCGGCGCGCCGGGAAGAGGAGCCGGCGGCAGGGGAGCGGGGGCCCGCAGGCGAGGGGGUUCGCACCGAUGGCUGUGGUGCCGGCGGUAACAGCCGCGCUUGGCCGGGAGAGAAGCGGCAUGGCAGGGAGCGCGGCCCGGGAAACUUUGUUCUAGUCGCGUAUCGGCGCGUGCAGAGAAACCAAACCGUGUCUCUCGGAAUAGGGGAAAACGCCACCGAGGGAAGAUACAGGCUGUCAGCACAAGGCCCAGGGUCAUCAAGUAUCUUCUAAUUUGCAGUGAUACCUUCUGCAGCGCUUCCAGCUCCUUGGGAGGCUUUCUGUUCUGUGCAGCACAGAGCUCUGUGCAGCCAAGUGAGCAAUAACCUCCGAAGGCUGAUUUUGCCAGUCCAUUUCAGCUGCUUUGUGAUGGUCCAGCAGAGCGAGCAUCAAUGGAGAUUGCCGUGAUAUAUUGUUAUAGCACUUCCCCUCAGCACAGACGAGACUUGCGGGAAAAGCAGUCCAGCUCUAGUUUAAAGCAAAACUACUGUUUGAUCUAAAUGAAGAAGAUGUUCCUUUCAAGUCAGCAGCAGUUUGCGUCAGCAAGAAAGUUCAUUUUCUGUGCUGAUGCAGCCUUAUGGAUAUUGAAGCACGAAACUCCGAUGAGCACGUGCACGGUGUACUUACGAUGCCCACUUUGAAAAAUGACAAGUUUUGUGGUCAUGUGGCUACUAACUAACUUUGUGUUCUUCUUUCAUAUGGAUUCUUUACAUUCCUGAAUAAACACAGAUAAUAUA